CCGGAUCCUCCUUAGGGUCUGGAUCCCGAACCUUGAAAAACUCAGAAUUUUUUCAGUUUUUAUUUUUAAAAACAAUCCUAAGUCUUCUAAACACUUUUACUCAAGUAUAUUUUCACCACAAAUUAUUAGCCUACAUACCUGAGUAAACGAGCAUCACGAACGAGUCUUUGCCUCACAAAUCUUGUAAUCUUGGUUCAAUUCUUCAUCUUCAACUCUUUAAGACUCCAUUCAACUUCACGAAAUCCGCCAACAUAGAAAAAUUCUUAACAAUCUCCCACUUUGGCGAUUUCGUGACAAAACUCAAUGCUCAUACAAACUCAAAACAGAAAAACGGAAGAUUAUCGCAAUCACCAAACGACAAUCUCCUGCAUGAUCGAUCCAACAAAGAAAAAUUACAUUUUACUCAUCCUAGACAAACUCUAU
rnacentral:lncRNA from 1 species